rnacentral:tRNA from 1 species
GCCUGGGUAGCUCAGUCGGUUGAGUGUCCGACUUCGGCUCAGGUCAUGAUCUCACGGUUCGUGGGUUCGAGCCCCACAUCGGGCU